CAGCAGCAGCCGCGGGAAUACGUAGGUGGCAAGCGUUGUCCGGAAUUAUUGGGCGUAAAGGGCUCGCAGGCGGUUUCUUAAGUCUGAUGUGUAAGCCCCCGGCUCAACCGGGGAGGGUCAUUGGAAACUGGGAAACUUGAGUGCAGAAGAGAAGAGUGGAAUUCCACGUGUAGCGGUGAAAUGCGUAGAGAUGUGGAGGAACACCAGUGGCGAAGGCGACUCUCUGGUCUGUAACUGACGCUGAGGAGCGAAAGCGUGGGGAGCGAACAGGAUUAGAUACCCCUGUAGUCCCUGUCUCUUAUAC
rnacentral:rRNA from 1 species